rnacentral:tRNA from 1 species
GAGGAUAGAGCUCGGUGGUAGAUCACAUGCUUAGCACGCACGAGGUCCUGGGUUCAAUCCCCAGUACCUCCA